rnacentral:rRNA from 1 species
CCUACGUGAGGCAGCAGUGGGGGAUAUUGCACAAUGGGGGAAACCCUGAUGCAGCGACGCCGCGUGGGCGAAGAAGUAUUUCGGUAUGUAAAGCCCUAUCAGCAGGGAAGAAGAAAUGACGGUACCUGAGUAAGAAGCACCGGCUAAAUACGUACCAGCAGCCGCGGUAAUACGUAUGGUGCAAGCGUUAACCGGAUUUACUGGGUGUAAAGGGAGCGCAGGCGGCACGGCAAGCCUGAUGUGAAAGCGCGCGGCCCAACCGCGGGACUGCAUUGGGAACUACCGGGCUGGAGUGCCGGAGAGGUAGGCGGAAUGCCUAGUGUAGCGGUGAAAUGCGUAGAUAUUAGGAGGAACACCAGUGGCGAAGGCGGACUACUGGACGGUGACUGACGCUGAGGCUCGAAAGCGUGGGGAGCAAACAGGAUUAGAUACCCUUGUAGUC